rnacentral:sRNA from 1 species
GCACGCCGGGUGACAACCGGCCGCAACGGAGAUGGCGGACGCAAGCCAAUUUUGCCGGUUUCUGGCUGCGACAUCAACGCAUCGGUACGCGCUAACGCCUAACCCGUUCCCGGC